rnacentral:rRNA from 1 species
CCUACGGGUGGCAGCAGUGGGGAAUAUUGGGCAAUGGGCGCAAGCCUGACCCAGCAACGCCGCGUGAAGGAAGAAGGCUUUCGGGUUGUAAACUUCUUUUAUCAGGGACGAAGCAAGUGACGGUACCUGAUGAAUAAGCCACGGCUAACUACGUGCCAGCAGCCGCGGUAAUACGUAGGUGGCAAGCGUUAUCCGGAUUUACUGGGUGUAAAGGGCGUGUAGGCGGGAGUGCAAGUCAGAUGUGAAAACUAUGGGCUCAACCCAUAGCCUGCAUUUGAAACUGUACUUCUUGAGUGCUGGAGAGGCAAUCGGAAUUCCGUGUGUAGCGGUGAAAUGCGUAGAUAUACGGAGGAACACCAGUGGCGAAGGCAGCUUACUAAACUGCCACUGACAUUGAUGCUCGAAAGUGUGGGUAUCAAACAGGAUUAGAUACCCUAGUAGUC